CUCAAGAUGGCAGGCAUUCUUCGGUGGCGUGGUGUCAAGCGAGCUGCCCUCGGAGCAGAAGAGACGUGGAAUUUGAUGCUCGGUCCUUUCCAAUGCACUCACACCGUGGUUUGCUCUCGUCUGUGUUUCAUAUUCAUUUCUCCGUCGGAGAGGGAUUGUGUGGGUGGAUCUGGAGGAACAGGGUUGAGAAGCUCACAACAGUAAAUACUGCAGAUUGAAGUCUAGCAGGUCAUUUUUACAUUAACGCAUUAAGGAAAUCUAUUUUAUUGUCUUUCUUUGAGUUAUACGUGUAGAUAUAAGUGUCCCCAUAGAUUAGAGAGAUAAGAUUUAAUUCUUACUGAACGUCGCGUAUUUGGCAAGGGAUAUGAGAUGUGAGUCGGAUAAAGAGCUACACUUUUGAUUGGUUGCUGAUCAAGUCAAACACAAAGGAAGUUGUCCUGGCCUGGACAGCACAGCUGCAGAUCAUAAGAGCGGCGAUAUUUACAGUUCAGGAUCAUUCUGACGAGGGCAAAGAAAGGCCAUAAAUCUCCCUGCGUGCUGUCCGUCCAUGAGCCAGCAUAACAACAGCAAAAGAGAACUUAACGGGAACCGCUGUCACAUUCUGAACUGAAAAUAUUUUCAUUCCUGAGACAAGGACACCGUGUCCAGCUCAAGGGUCAUUUGCCCCCUCCCGUCCCCACAUACUGACACUUACAAACACGCGCUCAAAAUUGCAUAUACCAUUUCUAAAAGCAUCGUGGGUCUUUUUUGGAAGACCUUCUUGCGUUUUCUAUGAGAAGGCGAGCCCCUCCUUCCCCUCAGUGUCCAGGCCAUACUCCCUGGCAUUUCCCACUUUGCUGUGGCCAGUUGUUGUUGGUGGACUGAAAACCGGAGGAAAAUAAAGAGAUCUAAAUGUCAGCAGGGAAGUGCAGUGCAUUCCGCGCCCCUGCAUCUCCUGAGCGGUCACCUAGAACAGCGUGUGAUCCCAAGACAAAGCUGCCCACAGCUGAAGGUGGGGGUGGAAGUGGAGACAUUACCCAGAAAGCAAGCCUGCGGGAUUGUCACCGAGUCCAGCAGAAUAUCUCUCUGGUCCAUCUCUACCUGCGGGGGCUGGGCCACUUUUCAUUUAGAUUCUUUUACGGGAUAUUGCGUUUUUCUGGGUCGGAAUGACGAGGGACCGGUGGUGACAUAAAUGGAGGAAGCUUGAAAGAGAGAGCGGAAGCCUCCGACACAUACACACAUACACGCAGCUGUUCUUUUCAUGCACACACACGCUGUACGGACACAUAAUGAAAAUACAUGGGAAGACUAGAUGGAGAUUUAAAGGUGUGUACUGUACACUGCAGGACAUUUUCUUCCUUCCCAAGCCUUUUUUUUUCCCUCAAAGGUGUUUUCAGCGGGAGCAUGAAAGAUGCAUGAGGAAGAGAAAGGUCACCGCUGAAAAUAAAAUAAAAAAAAUAAAGACCUUUUUGUCGCAGCACGAGCG